GACGAACGUUGGCGGUGGGCUUAACACAUGCAAGUCGAACGAUGUGGCGGACGGGUGAGUAAUACGUGGGUAACCUGCCCUUCUCCUUGGGAUACGCCUUGGAACCGGGGGCUAAUACCGAAGAAAGGGGGGUGGGCUCGCGGCCGAUCAGCGUGUUGGGGGUGUGGUGGCCGACCAAGGCGGUGACGGGUAGCCGGCCUGGGCGGGUGACCGGCCACAGUGGGACUGGGAUACGGCCCUGACGCCUACGGGGGUGGGCAGUGGGGGAUAGGGCACGAUGGGGGAACGCCUGAUGCAGGGACGCCGCGUGGGGGAUGAAGGCGUUAGGGUUGUAAACCUCUUUCGCUAUCGAACGGGUAGGUGGAGAAGAAGCACCGGCUAACUACGUGCCAGCAGCCGCGGUAAUUC
rnacentral:rRNA from 1 species